rnacentral:rRNA from 1 species
GAGGGGGAUAACUACUGGAAACGGUAGCUAAUACCGCAUAACGUCGCAAGACCAAAGAGGGGGACCUUCGGGCCUCUUGCCAUCGGAUGUGCCCAGAUGGGAUUAGCUAGUAGGUGGGGUAACGGCUCACCUAGGCGACGAUCCCUAGCUGGUCUGAGAGGAUGACCAGCCACACUGGAACUGAGACACGGUCCAGACUCCUACGGGAGGCAGCAGUGGGGAAUAUUGCACAAUGGGCGCAAGCCUGAUGCAGCCAUGCCGCGUGUAUGAAGAAGGCCUUCGGGUUGUAAAGUACUUUCAGCGGGGAGGAAGGGAGUAAAGUUAAUACCUUUGCUCAUUGACGUUACCCGCAGAAGAAGCACCGGCUAACUCCGUGCCAGCAGCCGCGGUAAUACGGAGGGUGCAAGCGUUAAUCGGAAUUACUGGGCGUAAAGCGCACGCAGGCGGUUUGUUAAGUCAGAUGUGAAAUCCCCGGGCUCAACCUGGGAACUGCAUCUGAUACUGGCAAGCUUGAGUCUCGUAGAGGGGGGUAGAAUUCCAGGUGUAGCGGUGAAAUGCGUAGAGAUCUGGAGGAAUACCGGUGGC